GCAUUGAGCCGUACCAGUCUGAACAUGCCUGAUCUCGUCAGAUCUCAGCAGCCAUCCAGACUGGGCUUGAUUAGAACUCUUCUUGGAGACAAAGUAGGAACUACAGGUGCCAUAGGAC